GCAGCGGAGGCGGGAAGGGGCGAGAGAGCGGAGCUCGGGCAAGGCCAGGCCGCAGCAGCGGAGGGGGCGCGGAGAAGCGCAGGCCCUGCCCGGCCCAGGCAGCUAGCGCCGGGGGAACAACGCGACGCGAAGCUGGACGGCCCAGAGGAAGCCGCCCGUGGCCAGACCGGGCCUGGAGGCCGAGACGCGGUGCCGCAGCGUCUCCCCGUCACGUCUGGGCACGCACCUCCUGGCGCCAGGGGCGCUCCGUCCCGCCCUCCGCAAAGGAUUAGCUUUGGAACGGGUUUUGGGGUGUGCCUGCUUCCUCCUCUCGGUCAGGUGAGUGAGUGGGCGUUGUUCUUCGUUGUCGAGCUGCUUCCACUUCCCCGCGUCUCCCUGUGCUUGGUGCUCCACCUGGAGUCAGCGAGGCUGCGGAAUUCUGCGGGGUGAGGCCGGAGUGGGGGGAUUUUCACAGCGACGGAGCCCGUCUGAGCGCUUGGCCCAAGCCUCCUCGAUGCUCGAAUCUGGACGGCCUGCGACAUCUCCAGGGCUCCGACGCCAGCCCUGGACUCCCGGGGAUCUUCCAGGGCUGCAGAGAAGCAAGGAAGUAUUGGACACGGUCAGGACCGUGAACGUGACGCCGGAGUUGGAACUGAAAUGCCUUCGCUUUAAUACGCCUGUUGUUUGACUUGAGGCAACUGCGUUUCCCUCUCUGGGCCUCAUUUUCUCCCUUCCGUUAAGUGAGGACCUUGGACUGUUUCAGCGAAUCUCGUUUUUUUCAGGCAUGGACUCCUUUGAGAAUCUGGUGAGAACUGUAGAACACCUCGACAGAGAAGCGCACAUGCAUACUAAAUUUUGCAAAAAGUUUUGGACAGUUCACCUAAGCAGGUUAUUUUUAGGGAUCUUUUCCAUUUGUAUGACUCUGACGGUUGCUCAGAUGGCAGGCAGAGAAGGGGUGGGCUGAGCAACAAGCUGCCACUCCCUCCAACACCGAGACUGGUUCUGCUGCGCUAGCUGUGCCCCUCCUCACUCACCACGCCCCAGCUCCACGUCUGCACUUCUCAGAGCUUUAUAGGAAAAGAUGGCUUUCCUCAGUAGAAUGGGCUAGAGUUGGUUAUGGCCCAACCUUCGUGUGAGGUUGUCACCUGAACCAAAACUUGACCCUCCCACUCCCCAAUACCUUAGCUGUAAUCACCUAACUAGAUAGGCUGCUGAGAAUAGCUUAGUAUAUUCAACUUAACUACAGCCAGAUCUUGGAAUGCCUGGCCCAUGCCUGGGAAUGGAAUCUACAGGUCAUUGGAUAAGGUUGUUAAAGCAUGUCGCAGGUAAAACAUUUUAAAUCCUUCUUGUUCAUAGGAGAGGCUCAGUAACUGACAAGGGAUGAAAAAAACCUAUUGGGACUUACCCGGUGGCGCAGUGGUUAAGAAUCCGCCUGCCAAUGCAGGGGACAGGGGUUGGAGCCCUGGUCCGGGAAGCUCCCACAUGCGGCGGAGCAACUAAGCCCAUGCACCACAACUACUGAGCCUGUGCUCUAGAGCCCGCGAGCCACAACCACUGAAGCCCGCGGUGCCUAGAGCCUGUGCUCCGCAGCAAGAGAAGCCACUGCAACGUAGAGUAGCCCCUGCUUGCCGCUAGAGAAAGCCUGCGUGCAGCAAUGAAGACGCAACACAGCCAAAAGUAAAUAAAAUAAAUAAAUAUAUUUUUUUUUAAAAAGAAAAAGUCCUGUUAAUUGUGAAGUUCCAACAUCAAACCUAAUGAUGCUAAUAAUGACUACCCUGUACUAUGCAGCAGCCAUGCACAUGUUCACACAUUUAAUAUUCCUGUGUUUUUACACAUUUUACAGAUGAGGAUGACUGGGACUCAGAUAUUAGGUAUCUUGUUCUAGCUCCCGUUCUAUGUCACACAGUGCUAGGAAGUGACUGAGUCAGGAUUUAAACAGUCUCAAAAGCCUGGUCACCCACUGCUGCCCAUCUCUCAACAUCUCUUAUAAAAGAAUAAGCAACAGGAAAGUAUUGGGAUUUCCCUGGUGGUCUGGUGGUUAGGAUUUGGUACCUUCACUGCCGUGGCUGGGGUUCAAUCCUAGGUCGGGGAACUGAGAUCCCACAAGCUGUGUGGUGUGCCAAAAAAAAGGGAAAAUGUGCAUUUUUUCCAUCAGAAGAUGUCAAGGGAAUUUCAUCAAGACCAAAUACAUGUUUUUAAGCUGUCAUUUGAAAGUAUUCCUUCGGGUAAAACCACACAUCCUUGAGGGCAAGGACUGCAUCUAGAUCAGUUGAAUUCCCAAAGCCUAACACAGUUCCUGGUUAGUUAGUUCCUAGGUACGUACAGUUUUGGUGAAUUCUUCGUUUUACCUUAUUUCCACCCAUACAGCGUUAAAAUCCUAAAAACUGAAACGUCUUCAAAUGCUUUGUUUUAGGUAAGCAUGUCUCCAUCAUAAAGUUGGGUGCUUUCUGAGGAUGCGGCUCAUUGAUCGGGGAGUAUUUGGAAGGCGAGAACCUCUCGGGAAUAAAGUCUGUUAACUCACACUACCUGAUGUGGCCAGAAAUUUCAAGUCAUUAGAUAUAGGCCUGAUUCACUGUGUGGUACCUCAUGACAGAAUGAGAGAGAGAAGCCACAAAACGUGACCUGAGGGAACAAAAAGCCCGAUCUGCGCUCCUACAUCAGUGACACAGGAUCUUUCCAGCCAAAGAAAAAGCCCUGAACUUACGUGGAGACUAUAUUCAGGAACUUAAUGCACAUAGUAAUGCCAUCUAACCAGAAAGCUAUGGUAGCUGUAAAAUUCCUUUAACAGUAUACUUCCUUCUUGGUACAUGAACCUUAUAAGUGAUUGAACAGAGGAAACCUAGUUCCAUCAAAUUAUACUCAAAAGCAAUCAAUUUAUAUAGGAAGGUAACUUUUUUUUUUUUUUUUUGCGGUACGCGGGCCUCUCACUGUUGUGGCCCCUCCCGUUGCGGAGCACAGGCUCAGCGGCCAUGGCUCACGGGCCCAGCCGCUCCGUGGCAUGUGGGAUCUUCCUGGACCGGGGCACGAACCCGUGUCCCCUGCAUCGGCAGGCGGACUCUCAACCACUGCGCCGCCAGGGAAGCUCCCCACUGGCUUUUGAGACCUGUAACUGGGGGCUUUUGGCUCCUUUGACAGUUGAUUUUAGCAGCACGGCCCUUCACAGCAGUCUCUUGUUUGGGGAGGAAUAGGCGAGAGGUGGGGAAGUGGAGAUUAACUGUGUUUUCCUGUCAUUCUAUUCAUAGCCCCCAAACCUAUUAUGAUCUGUUAGUUGAUAGUUGCCUUCCUCAAAUAUUGGCUCACAGAAAGGGGAGGGAAUGGGAAUUUCGGGAUGCCUUGAUAAGUGACCUCACUCUAUCCCUCUAGGCACUGGUUCUGGUUAAAUCUGCAGCAGCUUGAGUCCCAGGACUCAAUCCUCAGAGCCUGGAGCGGGGAUGGGAGGCUUUUCCUGGUAACUAUUGAUAACCAGCAGGGGGAGCGCGAGGAUCGCAGAUUCUCUUAAGUGUGAUUAAAACCCUUUACAGAGUAGAGUGGGUUUUCAAAACUGUUGAAGACUGAUAGUUAUGAAUCACUUGCCUUCUAACUCAAAUUUUCAUUCAACUUUGCAAUUUAAACUGUAUGAUGACAUCAGGAAGGUAUUAAGGCCAAGAAUUAGAAUCAACCAGUAAAGCUACAGAAGAAAAGAAUCUGUAAAUGGUGAGGACAGGAAGGGAUUAUUGAGAAGAGCUACUGGGGUGCUGGUAAUACUGUUUCUUGAUCUGAUGUUGGUUAUAGGAAUGUGUUCAGUUUGUGAAAAUUCAUCAAGCUAUAACACAUAGUAUAGGUACAUUUUUCUGUAUAUGUAUUAAUUUCAAUAAAAUGUUUUAAAAACUAAAAACAAAA